rnacentral:rRNA from 1 species
UACGAAGGGUGCAAGCGUUACUCGGAAUUACUGGGCGUAAAGCGUGCGUAGGCGGUUUGUUAAGUCUGCUGUGAAAGCCCCGGGCUCAACCUGGGAACGGCAGUGGAUACUGGCAAGCUAGAGUGCGGUAGAGGAUGGCGGAAUUCCCGGUGUAGCAGUGAAAUGCGUAGAGAUCGGGAGGAACAUCUGUGGCGAAGGCGGCCAUCUGGACCAGCACUGACACUGAGGCACGAAAGCGUGGGGAGCAAACAGG